rnacentral:rRNA from 1 species
GACGAACGCUGGCGUCGUGCUUAACACAUGCAAGUCGAGCGGAGCGGCGAACGGGGGAGUAAAGCGAGAGUAACUGCCCCCCUCUCUGGGAUAACAGUCGGAAACGGCUGCUAAUACCGGAUAGUGGGGGGUGCCUCGCGUCCUAUCAGCAUGUGGGUGGGGUAGUGGCCUCCCAAGGCGACGACGGGUCGCCGGCCUGGGAGGGGGACCGGCCACAUUGGGCUGAGAGACGGCCCAAAGUCGUACGGGAGGAAGAAGUGGGGAAUAUUGCACCAUGGGGGAAGCCCUGAUGCAGCAACGCGCGGGCGGGAUGACGGCCUUCGGGUUGUAAACCGCUUUCAGCCAUGACGCGGUAGUGGAAGAAGAAGCACCGGCUAACUACGUGCCAGCAGCCGCGGUAAUUC